UUGAACGCUGGCGGCAGGCCUAACACAUGCAAGUCGAACGGUAACAGGAAACAGCUUGCUGUUUCGCUGACGAGUGGCGGACGGGUGAGUAAUGUCUGGGAAACUGCCUGAUGGAGGGGGAUAACUACUGGAAACGGUAGCUAAUACCGCAUAACGUCGCAAGACCAAAGAGGGGGACCUUCGGGCCUCUUGCCAUCGGAUGUGCCCAGAUGGGAUUAGCUUGUUGGUGGGGUAACGGCUCACCAAGGCGACGAUCCCUAGCUGGUCUGAGAGGAUGACCAGCCACACUGGAACUGAGACACGGUCCAGACUCCUACGGGAGGCAGCAGUGGGGAAUAUUGCACAAUGGGCGCAAGCCUGAUGCAGCCAUGCCGCGUGUAUGAAGAAGGCCUUCGGGUUGUAAAGUACUUUCAGCGGGGAGGAAGGGAGUAAAGUUAAUACCUUUGCUCAUUGACGUUACCCGCAGAAGAAGCACCGGCUAACUCCGUGCCAGCAGCCGCGGUAAUACGGAGGGUGCAAGCGUUAAUCGGAAUUACUGGGCGUAAAGCGCACGCAGGCGGUUUGUUAAGUCAGAUGUGAAAUCCCCGGGCUCAACCUGGGAACUGCAUCUGAUACUGGCAAGCUUGAGUCUCGUAGAGGGGGGUAGAAUUCCAGGUGUAGCGGUGAAAUGCGUAGAGAUCUGGAGGAAUACCGGUGGCGAAGGCGGCCCCCUGGACGAAGACUGACGCUCAGGUGCGAAAGCGUUGGGAGCAAACAGGAUUAGAUACCCUGGUAGUCCACGCCGUAAACGAUGUCGACUUGGAGGUUGUGCCCUUGAGGCGUGGCUUCCGGAGCUAACGCGUUAAGUCGACCGCCUGGGGAGUACGGCCGCAAGGUUAAAACUCAAAUGAAUUGACGGGGGCCCGCACAAGCGGUGGAGCAUGUGGUUUAAUUCGAUGCAACGCGAAGAACCUUACCUGGUCUUGACAUCCACGGAAGUUUUCAGAGAUGAGAAUGUGCCUUCGGGAACCGUGAGACAGGUGCUGCAUGGCUGUCGUCAGCUCGUGUUGUGAAAUGUUGGGUUAAGUCCCGCAACGAGCGCAACCCUUAUCCUUUGUUGCCAGCGGUCCGGCCGGGAACUCAAAGGAGACUGCCAGUGAUAAACUGGAGGAAGGUGGGGAUGACGUCAAGUCAUCAUGGCCCUUACGACCAGGGCUACACACGUGCUACAAUGGCGCAUACAAAGAGAAGCGACCUCGCGAGAGCAAGCGGACCUCAUAAAGUGCGUCGUAGUCCGGAUUGGAGUCUGCAACUCGACUCCAUGAAGUCGGAAUCGCUAGUAAUCGUGGAUCAGAAUGCCACGGUGAAUACGUUCCCGGGCCUUGUACACACCGCCCGUCACACCAUGGGAGUGGGUUGCAAAAGAAGUAGGUAGCUUAACCUUCGGGAGGGCGCUUACCACUUUGUGAUUCAUGACUGGGGUG
rnacentral:rRNA from 1 species